rnacentral:tRNA from 1 species
GGGGAUAUAGCUCAGUUGGUAGAGUCUUGUCUCACAUAUACAAGGCCCUGGGUUCAAUCUCCAGCACCACA